rnacentral:tRNA from 1 species
GAGGGUAUAGCUCAGUGGUAGAGUGCAUGCCUAGCAUGCCUGAGGCCCUGUGUUCAAUCCCCAGUACCUCCA